GUGUUUGUUGUGUAGUGGUUAUCACAUCCGCCUAACACGCGGAAGGUCCUAGGUCCGAUCCCUGGCAGGCACA
rnacentral:tRNA from 1 species